rnacentral:rRNA from 1 species
CCUACGGUGGGCAGCAGUGGGGAAUAUUGCACAAUGGGGGAAACCCUGAUGCAGCGACGCCGCGUGAGUGAAGAAGUAAUUCGUUAUGUAAACCUCUUUUGUCAGGGAACAAAGGCGGGGACUAGUCCCCGGAUGAGGGUACCUGAAGAAAAAGCAUCGGCUAACUCCGUGCCAGCAGCCGCGGUAAUACGGAGGAUGCGAGCGUUAUCCGGAUUUAUUGGGUUUAAAGGGUGCGCAGGCGGCCUGUUAAGUCAGCGGUAAAAGCCCGGGUCUCAACCCCGGCGAGCCGUUGAAACUGGCGGGCUGGAGUUGGAGAGAAGUACGCGGAAUGCGCGGUGUAGCGGUGAAAUGCUUAGAUAUCGCGCAGAACCCCGAUUGCGAAGGCAGCGUACCGGCUCCACACUGACGCUGAGGCACGAAAGCGUGGGUAUCGAACAGGAUUAGAUACCCUGGUAGUC